CACAAACAUAAUUAACUCGGAGCU
rnacentral:siRNA from 1 species